rnacentral:rRNA from 1 species
GACGAACGCUGGCGGCGUGCUUAACGCAUGCAAGUCGAACGGAAAGGCCCUGCUUUUGUGGGGUGCUCGAGUGGCGAACGGGUGAGUAACACGUGAGUAACCUGCCCUUGACUUUGGGAUAACUUCAGGAAACUGGGGCUAAUACCGGAUAGGAGCUCCUGCUGCAUGGUGGGGGUUGGAAAGUUUCGGCGGUUGGGGAUGGACUCGCGGCUUAUCAGCUUGUUGGUGGGGUAGUGGCUUACCAAGGCUUUGACGGGUAGCCGGCCUGAGAGGGUGACCGGCCACAUUGGGACUGAGAUACGGCCCAGACUCCUACGGGAGGCAGCAGUGGGGAAUAUUGCACAAUGGGCGGAAGCCUGAUGCAGCAACGCCGCGUGCGGGAUGAAGGCCUUCGGGUUGUAAACCGCUUUCGCCUGUGACGAAGCGUGAGUGACGGUAAUGGGUAAAGAAGCACCGGCUAACUACGUG